rnacentral:rRNA from 1 species
GUGGGUAGUUUGACUGGGGCGGUCUCCUCCUAAAGAGUAACGGAGGAGCACGAAGGUUAGCUAAUCCUGGUCGGACAUCAGGAGGUUAGUGCAAAGGCAUAAGCUAGCUUGACUGCGAGAGUGACGGCUCGAGCAGGUGCGAAAGCAGGUCUUAGUGAUCCGGUGGUUCUGAAUGGAAGGGCCAUCGCUCAACGGAUAAAAGGUACUCCGGGGAUAACAGGCUGAUACCGCCCAAGAGUUCAUAUCGACGGCGGUGUUUGGCACCUCGAUGUCGGCUCAUCACAUCCUGGGGCUGAAGUAGGUCCCAAGGGUAUGGCUGUUCGCCAUUUAAAGUGGUACGCGAGCUGGGUUUAGAACGUCGUGAGACAGUUCGGUCCCUAUCUGCCGUGGGCGCUGGAGAAUUGAGGGGGGCUGCUCCUAGUACGAGAGGACCGGAGUGGACGCAUCACUGGUGUUCGGGUUGUCAUGCCAAUGGCAUUGCCCGGUAGCUAAAUGCGGAAGAGAUAAGUGCUGAAAGCA